UGGCUUGUAGCUCAGCGGCAGAGCGGAGCCCUGAUAAGGCUUGUCAUGCGGUGGUUCGAGUCCACUCAGGCCAA
rnacentral:tRNA from 1 species